GACGUAGGGGGCCAGCGUUGCUCGGAAUUACUGGGCGUAAAGGGUUCGUAGGCGGUGUGGUAAGUCGGAAGUGAAAUCUCUGGGCUUAACUCAGAGGCUGCUUUCGAAACUGCCGCGCUAGAGUGCGGGAGAGGCGAGUGGAAUUACAGGUGUAGCGGUGAAAUGCGUAGAUAUCUGUAGGAACACCCGUGGCGAAGGCGGCUCGCUGGACCGCAACUGACGCUGAGGAACGAAAGCUAGGGGAGCAAACGGG
rnacentral:rRNA from 1 species